rnacentral:pre_miRNA from 1 species
UCUCAUGGAUAAGCAAAGAAAGUAGUUUCUUGAAAUGGAAUCUACUCCUGACAAAGAUGUUGUGAA